UAGCCAGGUGAGUAGGGGCUAGCCAGGUGAUUAGGGGCUAGCCAGGUGAGUAGGGGCUAGCCAGGUGAGUAGGGGCUAGCCAGGUGAGUAGGGGCUAGCCAGGUGAUUAGGGGCUAGCCAGGUGAGUAGGGGCUAGCCAGGUGAGUAGGGGCUAGCCAGGUGAGUAGGGGCUGGCAGGCUGGGAACAUCUGUGUGGUGAAAAGUUUUAUUCUGGGAAACAUUUUGUAUUUACUGUGCAUGAGUCAUUGUCCAUUUUGUUAAUUAGCGUGCCCAGCAAUUCGAAUGUUGGUCAAAAACUGUUGGAAUUUGCUGUCUAAAUCAAAGUGUCCUUAAAACCCUCUUAGUGCCAUUGCAAUUGACAUUUUAAUAAGUGGCUUUUUCUGCUGUUUGGUUACUGGUAUUUUUUAUUAUAUUAAAAUAUGCAUGAAAUGCAAAACACCCGAAUGGGCAAGUAGAUGUGUUAGAUUUACACUAAACAGAAAUGAAAAUAGGGCUUAAUACAUGUGUGUUUUGUGUCUCUGACUAGUAGCCUAUGUGGACUGCACAGGCUAAUCUGGGACAACACUUACGCACAUGCUCUAAGUACCAUUAUUGUUGU